rnacentral:rRNA from 1 species
CCUACGGGAGGCAGCAGUGGGGAAUAUUGGGCAAUGGGCGAAAGCCUGACCCAGCAACGCCGCGUGAGGGAAGAAGGGUUUCGGCUCGUAAACCUCUGUCCUAUGGGACGAAGGAAGUGACGGUACCAUAGGAGGAAGCCCCGGCUAACUACGUGCCAGCAGCCGCGGUAAUACGUAGGGGGCGAGCGUUGUCCGGAAUGAUUGGGCGUAAAGGGCGCGUAGGCGGCCUGCUAAGUCUGGAGUGAAAGUCCUGCUUUCAAGGUGGGAAUUGCUUUGGAUACUGGUGGGCUGGAGUGCAGGAGAGGAAAGCGGAAUUACCGGUGUAGCGGUGAAAUGCGUAGAGAUCGGUAGGAACACCAGUGGCGAAGGCGGCUUUCUGGACUGAAACUGACGCUGAGGCGCGAAAGCGUGGGGAGCAAACAGG